AGCCAAAAUCGAAGGGUUUGGAGUGUGAAUUUGGGAAUCAUUCCUUCUCGAAAAUCGUAGAGGACCUCGAAAACUGUGAGUGUGUCAUUCGUGGUUGUGUACCUAAGAAAAUUUUGGUCUAUGAUGUUGCUUUUGGUGCUAACUCGAGCUAUGUUGGCGAAAUUCUGAGAAAUAGUAAACCUUCUGCCGCACCUGUUUUCGGAGCCGAAAUCGAAGGGUUUGGAGUGAGAUUUUCGAAUCAGUCUCUUCACAAAAGUCGUCGAGGACCGUGAUAAUUAUAUGUGUUGAGUAUAUUUAUGCUCUCAUUAAAGACUUGAGCAUGACUCCAAAGUAAGGUGUUUUUAUAGCACUUGCAUUGGACUUCAGGUGAGAAUCUCUAUUUCUUCACUAUUAUUUAUUAAAUUUUGAGCGCAGAUACAUUAUUGAAUUUUGAGUGCUACUAAGUGACAAAUGAUUGGAAUUGAUUCUAUCAUAUGAUUUCUUAUUUUCUAAUUGAU